AAAGACCUAGUUCAUAGACUAUGCUUUCCGAACAGGCAUUCAGGGCAUAUUAAUUAGUUGGUAGGGUAAUGGCCUACCAAGACGAUGAUGUGUAGCUGGACUGAGAGGUUGAACAGCCACAUUGGGACUGAACACGGCCCAAACUCCUACGGGAGGCAGCAGUAGGGAAUUUUCGGCAAUGGAGGAAACUCUGACCGAGCAACGCCGCGUGAAUGACGAAGUACUUCGGUAUGUAAAGUUCUUUUAUCGAGGAAGAAAAGCAAAUGGCGAACCAUUUGUUUGCCGGUACUUGAUGAAUAAGCCCCGGCUAAUUAUGUGCCAGCAGCCGCGGUAAGACAUAAGGGGCAAGUGUUAUCCGAAUUAUUGGGCGUAAAGGGUGCGUAGGCGGUCUAGUAAGUCAGUGGUGUAAUGUCAACGCUUAACGUUGUCCGGCUAUUGAAACUGCUAAACUUGAGUUAGAUAGAGGCGAGUGGAAUUCCAUGUGUAGCGGUAAAAUGCGUAAAUAUUGGAGGAACACCAGAGGCGUAGGCGGCUCGCUGGGUCUUAACUGACGCUGAGGCACGAAAGCGUGGGGAGCAAACAGGAUUAGAUACCCUGGUAGUCCACGCCGUAAAACGAUGAGUACUAAGUGUCGGGUUAAACCGGUACUGAAGUUAACACAUUAAGUACUCCGCCUGAGUAGUACGUACGCAAGUAUGAAACUUAAAGGAAUUGACGGGACUCCGCACAAGCGGUGGAUCAUGUUGUUUAAUUCGAAGAUACCCGAAAAACCCUUACCAGGUCUUGACAUGUUUUUGCAAAAUGAUAGUAAUAUCGUGAGGUUACCAGAAACACAGGUGGUGCAUGGUUGUCGUCAGCUCGUGUCGUGAGAUGUUAGGUUAAGUCCUAAAACGAGCGAAACCCUUAUCGUUAGUUGCAGCACGUUAUGGUGGGGACUUUAACGAGACUGCCAAUGAUAAAUUGGAGGAAGGUGAGGAUCACGUCAAAUCAGCAUGCCCCUUAUGACCUGGGCUACAAACGUGAUACAAUGGCUGUUACAAAGGGUAGCUGAAACGCAAGUUCUUGGCCAAUCCCCAAAAACAGUCCCAGUCCGGCCUGACGUCUGCGCACUCAG
rnacentral:rRNA from 1 species